UACGAAGGGGGCUAGCGUUGCUCGGAAUUACUGGGCGUAAAGGGCGCGUAGGCGGACAUUUAAGUUAGAGGUGAAAGCCCAGGGCUCAACCCUGGAAUAGCCCUUAAUACUGGAUGUCUUGAGUUCGGGAGAGGUGAGUGGAAUGCCGAGUGUAGAGGUGAAAUUCGUAGAUAUUCGGUCGGAACACCAGUGGCGAAGGCGACUCACUGGCCCGAUACUGACGCUGAGGCGCGAAAGCGUGGGGAGCAACAGGG
rnacentral:rRNA from 1 species